rnacentral:lncRNA from 1 species
UAUCUAAGCUAUAAGAACAUCUUGGUAGGCAGGAGUCGCACAUUGGUCAUCGUGGUGGUUUCCCUUCAAGAUGGUGUCACACUCCUGCCAUGCAACAGACUGUUUUCCUGCAAGACAUAUGCUUUCAUUUGUUCAUGGGUAAACUCCUAGGAGUAGAAUGGCUGGUUCAUAUUGGGAGUUUACUUUUCCACCUCAUUGAUGUUGAACUUGACCAUGUGACUUGCCAAUGAGGAAGUAACAGAUUUGAUGUAAGCUGAGGCUCCGUACUUGGUUGCACCAUUGAUGUGACUGCAUUUGACUGUGUCCAGUGAUUUACCAUGACAAGAGCUUUCUCCCACAUGGCUGCUGCCCCUUUUUCCUGGGCCCCAGUACAAGUACACUUGGUCAGACCUAAACUCAUGCACAGCCUGGAGCCAAGCAAGGCUGAGCUGCAGGCUGAAGCAGAGCUUUCCGGGUAACCUGAACUCCUGUUGCAGAUUCAU